AGAAGAACCUCUGGGUCCAGGGGUAGACGAUCAGCAGCCUGGGGAGAGACGGAGGGACACAAACAGACAUAGAGACACAGAUGUUCAGGGAGAGGUUUCCCCGUGCAGGCUGUUCCUGGAAAAACUUUGCUGGAAUGGAGAUGCCUACAUAGAAACUUUCAAUUCCACUGAAAAGAUGUGCUUCCAUUAAGCCAAAAUGAGUAAAAAAAGGCUCUAGCCCAUCCUGUCUGAAAGCUGCCCUCAUCCCCUGCUCUUGGGAUCUUACACAUUCCAGAUAUCAAACUCUGAUCAGGACGCACCAGUUUCCAUCACUGAUGCAGAAACUACUUUUGAUCAAUUUAAUACAUCAGUAGCAAACUAUGGAGAGGGAGACAGCCCAGCAGUCGAGUCCCCAUGAGAGGGUUCUCUCCUGCAUGGUGUCUGCAGAGCAACUUCACCUGAAGGCUUCUGCAGAGGAACCUCAGUGAAGCCUGUCAGACACAGGAUCCACCUGCCUUGGGGAGGGCCAGGGGGAUAAAUAUCACCUCCUCCCUGGCCCAGGAAUCACAGAAUCAUUAAAGUUGCAAAAGACCUCCAAGAUGGAGAGAAACUA